rnacentral:rRNA from 1 species
AAUCUACCUUUUACAGAGGGAUAGCCCAGUAGAAAUUUGGAUUAAUACCUCAUAGUAUUUUUGAAUCGCAUGAUUUGAUUAUUAAAGUUCCAACGGUAAAAGAUGAGUAUGCGUCCCAUUAGCUAGAUGGUAAGGUAACGGCUUACCAUGGCUACGAUGGGUAGGGGUCCUGAGAGGAGAUCCCCCACACUGGUACUGAGACACGGACCAGACUCCUACGGGAGGCAGCAGUGAGGAAUAUUGGACAAUGGGCGCAAGCCUGAUCCAGCCAUGCCGCGUGCAGGAAGAAGGUCCUAUGGAUUGUAAACUGCUUUUAUACAAGAAGAAACACUCCCUCGUGAGGGAACUUGACGGUACUGUAUGAAUAAGGACCGGCUAACUCCGUG